AGUGGAAAGAGAGAACAAGAGCCUGGAGCGGAGGCUUGAAGGAAGGCGCCGAAGAUAGCUAAGCGUGCUCUGGCUCCAUUCUAGCCGCUCCUGAAAGGACCAGCGCAGCAUGCCAGCUCCUCUGGUCCAGCAGAGAGACUUGUGCCUGUAUUUGGGCAGCAACAUCUAUGCACAAGACCAAAGGCUUCAACUAACCAGCUGCAGUCCCUGUUUUCCAGAUGGUUCCCCAAGAGAGUUCUUGGCAUAUUAAUCUGAAUACAUUGAAUACUUUGGGGGAACAUUGUCUGUCGUGAUGUCUGCUUAAUUCAGUUGCUUCUGAGGAAGACCUAUAGCUACAAGGAAGAUGAUUCUUCUUUCCUAUCUACUACUGUAACUGGCUGCUUACUCUGUUCAGAGGGCUGGUCUUGUGGCAGCAAGCAUGAAUUGUUCCCUUUGCUAAGCAGAAACAGCUGCAUUAACACAUAUACAUAAAGAAAUAACAUUACAGAGAACUGUACAUUAAGGAUCCUGGAGGUUCACCAGUGAAUAUCAGAGUCCUCAUCUGGAUGCAACCACUCAAGCGAGGCUCCAAGCA